rnacentral:rRNA from 1 species
ACGGAGGGUGCGAGCGUUGUUCGGAAUCAUUGGGCGUAAAGGGCGUGUAGGUGGUCUGCUAAGUCAUGUGUGAAAGCCCCCGGCUCAACCGGGGAAGUGCGCAUGAAACUGACAGGCUAGAGUACCGAAGAGGAAGGUGGAAUUCCAGGUGUAGCGGUGAAAUGCGUAGAGAUCCGGAGGAACACCAGUGGCGAAGGCGGCUGCCUGGGCCUGGCCUGACGCUGAGGCGCGAAAGCGUGGGGAGCGAUCCGGA